AUUGAACGCUGGCGGCAGGCCUAACACAUGCAAGUCGAGCGGAUGAAGGGAGCUUGCUCCUGGAUUCAGCGGCGGACGGGUGAGUAAUGCCUAGGAAUCUGCCUGGUAGUGGGGGAUAACGUCCGGAAACGGGCGCUAAUACCGCAUACGUCCUGAGGGAGAAAGUGGGGGAUCUUCGGACCUCACGCUAUCAGAUGAGCCUAGGUCGGAUUAGCUAGUUGGUGGGGUAAAGGCCUACCAAGGCGACGAUCCGUAACUGGUCUGAGAGGAUGAUCAGUCACACUGGAACGGAGACACGGUCCAGACUCCUACGGGAGGCAGAAGUGGGGAAUAUGGGACAAUGGGCGGAAGCCUGAUCCAGCCAUGCCGCGUGUGUGAAGAAGGUCUUCGGAUUGUAAAGCACUUUAAGUUGGGAGGAAGGGCAGUAAGUUAAUACCUUGCUGUUUUGACGUUACCAACAGAAGAAGCACCGGCUAACUUCGUG
rnacentral:rRNA from 1 species